rnacentral:rRNA from 1 species
GACGAACGCUGGCGGCGUGCUUAACACAUGCAAGUCGAACGGAAAGGCCUCAGCUUGCUGGGGUACUCGAGUGGCGAACGGGUGAGUAACACGUGGGUGAUCUGCCUUGCACUUCGGGAUAAGCUUGGGAAACUGGGUCUAAUACCGGAUAGGACAGCUGUUUAGUGUCAGUUGUGGAAAGUUUUUUCGGUGCAAGAUGAGCUCGCGGCCUAUCAGCUUGUUGGUGGGGUAAUGGCCUACCAAGGCGUCGACGGGUAGCCGGCCUGAGAGGGUGGACGGCCACAUUGGGACUGAGAUACGGCCCAGACUCCUACGGGAGGCAGCAGUGGGGAAUAUUGCACAAUGGGCGGAAGCCUGAUGCAGCGACGCCGCGUGGGGGAUGAAGGCCUUCGGGUUGUAAACUCCUUUCGACAGGGACGAAGCUUUUGUGACGGUACCUGUAUAAGAAGCACCGGCUAACUACGUGCCAGCCGCCGCCGUAACAC